rnacentral:rRNA from 1 species
GUAGGGAAUAUUGGGCAAUGGUCGGAAGACUGACCCAGCCAUGCCGCGUGCAGGAAGACGGCCCUCUGGGUUGUAAACUGCUUUUAUCUGGGAAGAAAAAGGCCAUGCGUGGCAAAUUGCCGGUACCAGAUGAAUAAGCACCGGCUAACUCCGUGCCAGCAGCCGCGGUAAUACGGAGGGUGCGAGCGUUGUCCGGAUUUAUUGGGUUUAAAGGGUGCGUAGGCGGCUGAUUAAGUCAGCGGUGAAAGACUUCGGCUUAACCGGAGCAGUGCCGUUGAUACUGGUGGGCUUGAGUGUCGGAGGGGUACAUGGAAUUGAUGGUGUAGCGGUGAAAUGCAUAGAUACCAUCAGGAACACCGAUAGCGAAGGCAUUGUACUGGCCGACAACUGACGCUGAUGCACGAAAGUGUGGGGAUCGAACAGGAUUAGAAACCCCAGUAGUCC